CGUGGCCGCGCGAUCGCGCUUAGACGAUAUUUACCUGCCUGCGCGCGGAGAUCCCGGCAGGAGCGUAUAUCGUCCGCACGCAUCCCGCAGUUCCCCCGAGAGCCCCCCUCUCGGAAGUGGGUCCAAAGGCCCCGCGUACGCAUCGUACGCACGCACGCACGCACGCACGCACGCAGCACGGCGAAUACGCCUACGAGGACAGCGCGCCAUGCGUCAACCUUAAAUCUUACGAGGGACGAGGAUCGGGACGGGAUCUGCAAUCAGUGAGCGGCUAAAAACGUUGAAGAUGCUACCAAAAUUGAUACUCCUGCUCUGGGCGGCAAUUCCGAUUGCGUUGUCCCAGAGCAACUAUGCGUCGCAAGGUAACAGCAUCGAGUAUCAGCCGGGACUUCCGCCGAGCACAGUCCUCGACGGCAAAGUUACCAAAUUGGAUGACAUCUCGCCGAUUAUAUUUUUGAAUCGAACGAAAGCCUAUCUGAACUGCGGCCAGGGUAGCAUGGAGGUCGAGCUCAAGUUUGAGGAACCGUUUUACGGAGUGGCCUAUGCCGACUUUGAUCGCAACAGUGCUUGCAUAUUCAAAGGACGAGGUGCAACGACCGCUAAAUUGGAACUACCUCUGAAAGGAUGCGGUACAAAACAGGAUCCUCUGCGCGUGUUCACCAAUAAUGUAGUUGUUCGCUUUCAUCCCGGAUUAGAGAUGGAUGGAGAUGAGGUUAUCACUAUAGUAUGCAGAUAUCCUCCACCUGUGGCACCGGCGCCUCCUAAACCGCCAGAAAGCAUAAUGGCCACUCUGACGCCAGCGUCGGUGACCGAACCACCGCUGAAAGGCUUCCAGAUCUUGUUGAUUAUCUGCGCUAUUCUGUUCCUCUCAUUGCUCCUGCUCGGUCUUGGCUGUUCCUACAUGUGUCUGAAACGACGAAAUGUGCGUGUGGUCCAUCGACAUCCGUUCGAAAGCGCCACUGGUUCUGAGAUAACGAAGCUCUCCGGCUCAUCUCUGAGCAACAUCACGAUGUUCGAGGGUCUGAAGAUACCACGAGCGCACGCUCUUCUUCACGCGACUGCCGUGUCUACUUCCGGCAGCGAGGCGAAUCUGGUGAUCGAUCAUUCGGACACAUUGCCAAGUGAUUACCCAAGCGAAAGUCACUCUGAGGUGGAUGAGGAACGUUCGUUACCUGUAUCCUCCGCCGGAUCCUAUGAUAAUAAAGCAUUCAUAGACCAUCAUGAGGUCCAACGUCAAGUGGAAAUGCGUGCUUCGAGCUCCUUAUAUUCAGAGACAGUUGCUGCCGAAGUGGAAACUUCCUCCAUGACAGCUGCGAAUGCUUCAAGAAUCAUGGUGCCGCGACAUCCUGUAGCCGUUCCGAUUGAACCCAAGUUCGACGUGCAGAUGAGAGUUAAGAGAGCACCACCCCCACCGCCGAGCCCGCUGCCAUCGGAAUCGGACGUUGCGAGUAUCGCCCUCGAGAGAAAUCUAACGACCAUUCUGGAGAGAGAAGAGACUUCUCGCUCUCUCGAAAGUGCACCCUAUCGAAUGACGACCUUCUCCUACGUACCCGAGCUUCACAGACCACCAGGAGGCGUGUCACCUGUCUCGACCAUCUCUCGGCAGCAGACACCGCCAGUCUAUUCCAGGAUUCUACGCAAACAAGCAGAGAGAGAGACCACCGUGAUCCAAGAGAAACUCCCGUCGCCAACGACCGAACAACCGCCGUUGCAUGAGAUUCGUCGGCCAAGGUCUCUGACUUCCUUGAACACCGAGCUCACCGAGACUCGCUCGUUGACGGAAGUGACGGACGCCUCGCAUGCCAAGUACCGGGUAGCAAGCAUUCUAGCGCCGACCCCACCGCCGCCGCCCCCAAUUGUGCCUACCACGUCCACCACCACUACUCACACCGCCGUUCAGCAUCGCGAGCACCGUUUGUUGCGCGAGGAGAUGACUGAACCACUGGUCGAGCCGCAGGUAGUUGCGCCUCGCCGUCCAGAAAUCACGACUCACGAAGUGGACGAUGUGUUCCUACGUACCGUUACGGAGAAGAAGACGAUCGAAGAUGUGGAGCGUCACAGUCGCCAGAUAACCGAGUAUCGCGCCAGAUCUCAACCGCCGGAUCUCAAGUGGGACGUCACCAUCAGGAACUAUCCGACGGAGAAUUUGCCGCCGCCACCGCCGGAAUGGGAGAACUUCUCCGAUGUUAGCUCGGCCUCCAACUUGACCAUCACGAACGAGCCAACGAAUCAUUUGGCAGACGACGAACUGGAUGUAAACAUCGAACCGACUUAUACCACGCGCGCUGAGAUUCCAUGCCGGCCACCACCUACGCGCCGAUCCCUCGACGACGCCGAUGCUGAUUGGUACACUAGGUUGGCACGCGUCUUGGAGCCGCGUUAUGCCACGGAGUUGACGGAUGAGGAGCGUGCCAAGUGGCGCGAAAUCAUCACGACGGAAAGCACGCUGCGGACUUUGUUAACCGAAGCAGUGGUUAAAGAGGAUUACGAACUGAUACGCAAGGAUGCGAGAUACAUUAAUUUGUUCCCGCCAGCGAAAUGGGAUGUGAUCAUCCGAAUCCUAAGUCCGCCAUCGAUGCACCCUGGCUCCACCUCGUCCUCCAGUCACGGCAAGAACCAUGGGCAGAGAUACAAGCGGUCCAAAUCGUCGGAAUGGGACACUAGAUCCAGACGAUCCUCCCUUCCUACCCUGUACGAAUACGAGAGCGAUGGGGGCAGCUCGGCGCGCACCUUAGGUACCCAGAGUCACCAUUUACAAACAUCGCAAUCCGCCACGACCAUGACCGGUGGACAGAUCGCCGGUCGUCCACGUCGACUAGGCGGUUCUAUUCGUUCGCGAGGAGCCGGAGUUGGUAGUGAGGCCGAUUUGAGAUCGAUGUCCGAGAUAACCGUCCGUGAUUUCGCCCGGAUGGACAGAGACGACCUGACCAGCUUGAGCUCCUUCGAAGGUGCGGACUCGCUGGUCAGAUCGCUCAGCCAACCCAGCUUAGCCAGAUCGGGUUCGGAAUUCACCGAGCACUGGGGCAUGCCUUCUGGUAUUCUGCCACCAUGGGCGUCCGAACACGCGGAGGAUGGCGUCAGUUCCGUGGAAACGACACCGAGAGCGAUCAGAAGAGGUGACAGGAUGGAGGUCCUCGCCUCCUUCGACGAGCACAGACGAGGUCCGUCCAUCACGAGAUCGAGUCGAUACACCGAAAGGGAGCUCAGCGUACGCGUGACAGAAAGUCAGAGGGCCUCGGAUUGGUUUAAUGACAACAAUUCCGAGCCGGAGAUGCAGAUCUGAACGCUUCCAAAACAGAACACAGAGAUUCUCGGUUUUUACCUCAAAUCUUUUAGAUUCAAUAAUAAGGUGGCCAUCUGUCUUUUAUUCUGUUAUUAUCUACCGUCAAAGAGGAGAGUGCGACAAAGAGGUUGUGGCAAAUGUAAUAAUUUCAACAGUACGAUCUUUAUCGUUAGAUACCGAUAUUCGCCUUUCGAAAAGGAACAAAGUGAGACGCACGGAAGAUUCUCAUUUCAGUGACAAUAAUCGCAAUACGGAGUGGGACAGCGUUCGCAGCAUCCACUCCAUCUGUGACGGCCGUUAAUUGACUCGGCGAGGCGCGAGCGAUAGUUUAAUAGCCGCGCGAAUAGAGGAUACUGCGGAUGAGAAGGGACAAAGGGAGGAGGGAACAUCUACGGCAAGGGAUGACGACACGUCUACGUGGGGUGCCGAGAAACGAUAGUGGGGCUAGAUGGUGAGCAAAGCGGCAACGGACGACGCGAGUUAUGGUGGCGAACGACGCCGGUGGAUGGUGGGGUUGAAAAGCGACGCGGCCAGUUACGGUCGUACGGGAUAAGCUCGUCGUGCACCUGCGAUCAGUCGAGAGAGCGCGGAAAGUAGAUUCGACGAGGAUACCGGAACGGUCGCAUCGGAGAACCGGAAGAAUUCCGCCGAGACGAUGGCGCCGGUCUUAAUGAGAUACCGUGAAGAGAUCGAACGCGAAUACGGGGGGAUACGAUUGGCCGAGACAAACGAUAUCCUUCUCCGUGACGGACGGAGAGAAUUCGAUUAACGAACUAAUCUCUUUCGACGAACUUCCGCGAGAGCCACUUCCGCAAGAAACGAAGAAAAAUCGUCCAUUUAUGCGUGACAGAGAGCGGAUAGUCCCUUUGAAUGAAAAGUUUCGGAGUCUUGCGUGUAAUUGAGAGAGAUCCGUGCUUAUAUCCCAUAAAUGUUUGUUGGAAAAACUCGAACUGGGAUGCUGCCGCCUUCGCCGAACAAAG